UACGUAGGGCGCAAGCGUUGUCCGGAAUUAUUGGGCGUAAAGAGCUCGUAGGCGGUUUGUCGCGUCUGCUGUGAAAGUCCGAGGCUCAACCUCGAAUCUGCAGUGGGUACGGGCAAACUAGAGUGCGGUAGGGGAGAUUGGAAUUCCUGGUGUAGCGGUGGAAUGCGCAGAUAUCAGGAGGAACACCGAUGGCGAAGGCAGAUCUCUGGGCCGUAACUGACGCUGAGGAGCGAAAGCAUGGGGAGCGAACAGG
rnacentral:rRNA from 1 species